rnacentral:lncRNA from 1 species
AAAAUAACAAUGCAAUACAAUAAAGCAAUAAUACAACACCUAUGGCUGUGUCCAUUUCCUAAAGUGAUGUUAAUUUUGCACGACCUCGAAGCUGAACUGACACUAGUUGUCUACAAACUCUGCAUCAAUAAUUGGUCCCAAAUCUUCAGUUCAGUACUAUAAUAUUUGACAUCAGACAAUAAGAUGAAAAAUCAUGAGUAACACAAAAGUCCCAAAGCUUACUCAUAAUCAAGCACACCAUUGAGUCAAAAGUGUGAUGAAGAAGCUCAACAUCCAUACAUAUCUAUCAAGAAAAC